rnacentral:tRNA from 1 species
GAGGGUAUAGCUCAAAUGGUAGAGUGUAUGCUUAGCAUGCACAAAGUCCUGAGUUCAAUCCCCAGCACCUCCA